CCUGCCCAAGAGAUCGGGAUAACACCUGGAAACAGAUGCUAAUACCGGAUAACAACAGAUGAUGCCUAUCAACUGUUUAAAAGAUGGUUCUGCUAUCACUCUUGGAUGGACCUGCGGUGCAUUAGCUAGUUGGUAGGGUAACGGCCUACCAAGGCGAUGAUGCAUAGCCGAGUUGAGAGACUGAUCGGCCACAUUGGGACUGAGACACGGCCCAAACUCCUACGGGAGGGCAGCAGCA
rnacentral:rRNA from 1 species